AUUGAACGCUGGCGGCAUGCCUUACACAUGCAAGUCGAACGGUAACAGGUCUUUGGAUGCUGACGAGUGGCGAACGGGUGAGUAAUACAUCGGAACGUGCCCGAUCGUGGGGGAUAACGGAGCGAAAGCUUUGCUAAUACCGCAUACGAUCUACGGAUGAAAGCAGGGGACCGCAAGGCCUUGCGCGGACGGAGCGGCCGAUGGCAGAUUAGGUAGUUGGUGGGAUAAAAGCUUACCAAGCCGACGAUCUGUAGCUGGUCUGAGAGGACGACCAGCCACACUGGGACUGAGACACGGCCCAGACUCCUACGGGAGGCAGCAGUGGGGAAUUUUGGACAAUGGGCGCAAGCCUGAUCCAGCCAUGCCGCGUGCAGGAUGAAGGCCUUCGGUUGUAAACUGCUUUGUACGGAACGAAAGAACUUUCUAAUAAAGAGGUCCAUGACGUACCGUAAGAAUAAGACACCGGCAACUACGUGCCAGCAGCCGCGGUAAACG
rnacentral:rRNA from 1 species